rnacentral:rRNA from 1 species
GACGAACGCUGGCGGCGUGCUUAACACAUGCAAGUCGAACGGUAAGGCCCUUUCGGGGGUACUCGAGUGGCGAACGGGUGAGUAACACGUGGGUGAUCUGCCCUGCACUUUGGGAUAAGCCUGGGAAACUGGGUCUAAUACCGGAUAGGACUACGCGAUGCAUGUCGUGUGGUGGAAAGCUUUUGCGGUGUGGGAUGGGCCCGCGGCCUAUCAGCUUGUUGAUGGGGUGAUGGCCUACCAAGGCGACGACGGGUAGCUGGCCUGAGAGGGUGUCCGGCCACACUGAGACUGAGAUACGGCCCAGACUCCUACGGGAGGCAGCAGUGGGGAAUAUUGCACAAUGGGCGCAAGCCUGAUGCAGCGACGCCGCGUGGGGGAUGACGGCCUUCGGGUUGUAAACCCCUUUCAGCACAGACGAAGCGUAAGUGACGGUAUGUGCAGAAGAAGCACCGGCCAACUACGUG